rnacentral:rRNA from 1 species
AUGGCCGCGGAGCAGCAACACUCUCCUGCCCUUGCCCUUCCCGGCGGCCGCUACCCCGACGAUCUGCUCAGCCUCGAGCUCCCCUCAGAUCCCGGUCCCACGCCCCAGCGUCCCCAUGAUACACGCGAGGAGGAGGAGGAAGAAGAGGGGGAGCCUCUCGACAUUAGCAUACGUGACUACCUGCUGGGCACUUCAGAGCCACCUGUCAUCCGCUGGGAAGAGUUCGACAUCGAUGAUCCCGAGUACACAAGCGAGGACGACGAGCAUGCACUGGCGACGGACGACGAGGAGACGAAUUGCCCAGGGAAGAACUUCCCCAGGAAAGAAGCAAGGCGAGUGGACGCAGCGUGGAUGGAGGCAUACACCAAAGGGAACAUUGAAUACCAGAGGAUGUGUAAUGAGAUUCUAGCGAGUGGAGAUGAGAAUGCCCUUCUCCCCGCUUGUCCUCUCAAAGUGUUCCCUGAGGCGUCAGGCCUGUGCAUCAGGAGGGAUCACUGCCACCACCGUGAAUACAAAACCCAUGUUACUUCCAGCACUAAAUCAACUCUUGGGUAUCGUGAUCCGGGGAAGAUGAUACAGAUCUUUGGACUGAAAGUAACUUGCUCUGAGCCCUAUCCGGCUAGUGUCUAUGGAGUAGUUGCUAUCCGGGAUGACUUGGAGCCACUACGGAAUCCUGUCUUUAACCGUCCCUGCAGAGACGACGCUCUCGUGAUUGACCAGGAUUCCCUUGCAUUGCCUCUUUGUAGCCCUUGUCGUGGAAUGUACAUAUGGGAGAAGGCAUUACUAGAAGUCGAUCUUUGGGAAAAGUGCGAAGGAGAUGGAUCAUCCGACAAGCGAUUACUUCUUGCGUAUGCUGAGAUUGAGGGGCAGUAUGAUUUAGAUUUGAUGAUAGAUGGGCAGAUAACAGGCGACCGUUGCAGCCUGGUCAUGGACUACCUGUUGCUUGCAGGGAGUGUGGAGGUUGUGAUACAGGUCUUUGCAAAGGUUGAGCACCCUCACCAUCUGCGAUUCGCCGCAUACAUCGGUGGCUUUGCUCGUGAGAUUGUGCUGUUUGAUGGCGAGUUCUCUGGUGACGAGAAGCUGCUCCAGCAUGUCGUCGCGGUGAAGGCCAAGGGGAAACUGGAUGUUUGCUUGGAACUGGAGGAAUCGCUGUUUUGGUGGACUUUUGAGCAAAGAGCUGUUGGAGCUGUUAGGUCUCCUGACGAUUCGGUGUUGAAGUAUGGCCAAUUCGAUGUGAGGGUGCUUUUUGCUCCCAAGGACUUCACUGUGGUUGGCUGA